AGGACGAACGCUGGCGGCGUGCUUAACACAUGCAAGUCGAGCGGAAAGGCCCUUCGGGGUACUCGAGCGGCGAACGGGUGAGUAACACGUGAGUAAUCUGCCCUUAGCUCUGGGAUAGCUCCGGGAAACCGGGAUUAAUACCAGAUACGACCACUUUAGACAUCUGCCGUGGUGGAAAGAAUUUCGGCUAAGGAUGAGCUCGCGGCCUAUCAGCUUGUUGGUGGGGUAACGGCCUACCAAGGCGACGACGGGUAGCCGGCCUGAGAGGGCGACCGGCCACGACUGGGACUGAGACACGGCCCAGACUCCUACGGGAGGCAGCAGUGGGGAAUAUUGCGCAAUGGGCGAAAGCCUGACGCAGCGACGCCGCGUGGGGGAUGAAGGCCUUCGGGUUGUAAACCCUUUCAGCAGGGACGAAGCGAAAGUGACGGUACCUGCAGAAGAAGCGCCGGCUAACUACGUGCCAGCAGCCGC
rnacentral:rRNA from 1 species